rnacentral:lncRNA from 1 species
AAAGAAACAAAGAGUGAAGAUGCAAUAACAGCACUGGAAACCGGCAGAGAGGAGGCUGCUCCGGUGUCCGAUGAAGGAGCCGGUGCCGGCGCCAUCUCGGUGCUUUGAGCUGAAGCAGCAGCCAUUGCAACAGCUGCCAAAACGAACAUCAUCAUAACGGACUUUAAGCUGCUAAUUUGCGCCAUCUAUAUUUAUAUUAAUUGCUGAAGAAAAACAAGAAGCAAGAACUAUAUAUGAAAACAAAGAAUUGAUUCAGUAAGCAAGUUAUGGGCAAUGGCUCCGUUAAAUGUUAGGUGGUGCUUAUAUAGUGAGGUGUAUGCGCGGCUUGUGGAGCCCGCUUCGAUCUGUGUGACAGCAAACGUGUUGUGUUUGGUUUGGUUUUCGCCCAAAGCGUAUCUUGACAGACUCAGAUUGGUCGGAACUAAAAACAUGGGACCGAGUGGGAUCUGGAACACGUUGGCACGUGGUAGUUGGACUCACGAUGUUGACCAUUGUUAAGUCGGUAAACGGUUGCGUGCCUUAAAUAUGUAGUUUACAAGCAUGUGUAAUGAAUUGAUUAGAAUCUACAGAUUGACAGUGGGUAAAGAUCAUUAAAUUAAAAAAAAAAAAAAGUAUUGAAGGGGUUCCAAAUCCUCCAUUUCUAAGAAAUGAUUCGUUCCUAAAGUUCUGAGUAUCCAUCUUCUAUUUAUUGAUGACCCUUUGAUGUUUAACUUAGAGUUUGAUUUAUAAAAAAAUAUUAGAGUAAUUUGAAGGAUCAUUCUUACUCCUCUAAUGAUCUCUCUCUCAUUUGUUAGAUGAGAAAAUGGUCGGUCACUACUAGUUAGAAUCUUGAUAUGUUAUCUAUUUAUCUAGUACAAUCUUAGACGAGAGUUAUUUUUUUUUUCCCCUUAAUUCCUUCAUUGUCAUUAUUUUUAUUUCCUUUUAAUUACUUAAGGUCAUGGAUACAUGGUUCAAUAGGAAUUUGCUAUACAAAUUUGGCAAUAGAGAAGGGCUUUUGUGAGGCUAUCUGAGACAGUCUAGUAGUGUUUUGUCACGUGACAUAACAGUGGUCUCAUUAUGGGAUCAACAGUAAUUCUUAUAAUAAGAUCCAUUAAAUUUAAUAUUAAAAAUAUCAGUGAAUCUUACAAUAGAACCCAUCGCUCUGCCAACUUUAAAGUGUUUCAUUACCUCAACAUGCUCAGCUAAUAAGAGAGUUCCGCACAUAAUUUUUUUCUUGGCAAAAUCAUCACAUUAAGAAAGUUUUAAGAGGUGCCACCAUGUGUAUGUAUUGUAUAAUCUACAAUUUUAUAAACAUAUAAAGCCAAGAGUUAAAAAGACACUCAACCCACAGGAUUUGUGCUAAUGCACGGUAGUCUUCCAUUUGUUUCAAGAGUGAAUAGACAAAUAUUCAAGAAAUAAAAAUAUUUAUAUACGAGUCAUCAUAUAAUAUAGGAUCCUGAUCUAUUUUUCGCGGUCGUAUAAUCACUUCCCAAAUGAAAGCUAGACACCAGUUAAUGUACUGCCUUAAUUGCUCCAUUAACCAAACCUGUCAGUGCCUACAGACCUCCAAAACUGGAACUGGAUAUCAUGAUUAUAUAUGUUUAUACGCUGCUCACCAACCCGUAGACCAAUCAUCGCCAGCACGUAUAUAUAUACGCGGCAUUGCUGUACCUGCACGUGGCUACCUCAGACGAAAAGAAGCUCUUAUAUAUAACCAUCACAAACGUUGAACCGAACCACUUGUAAGCUCGGAUAGCAGUUUCAAGUUCUUCAACACUUUUAACAGUAUUUAUAUAAUACAAUGGCGACAGUUAGCAGCUCAAAAAAGGCCGUGAAUGCGAUGAUGGGGUUGGUUUUGGCAACUUUUGCAAUGGCUGCUUCCGUGUCGGCGCAAAGUACCGAGAUGGCGCCGGCGCCGGCUCCUUCGAUGGAUACCGGAAUUGGCUUCUCUCUGCCGGUUUCUCUAGCCGUCGUUGGUUCUUCCCUCGUUUUAUCUCUUCUUGCCCUGUUGAAGCAUUGAAUGGAAAUUCGUUGUGUGUAAAAAAAGAGGUUGUAUUUUGAGGAAAUGGAGAUAUAGUAUUGCAUUUAUUCUUUGCUUGUUUGUUAUCAAUAUUUGUAUUAUCAAUAAAUUAUUAAUUAAUAAUAUUUCAUCUUUUUUUUUCACUUUAUUCAUUUGGUUUUUCUUCUUUACUACUGAGAAAAAAAAUCUAUAAAAAAUCUUAAUUUCCAUUAAACGGGCCCAUUGAUGACUCAUUCUUUUAUUUUUUUGAUAACAAUCUGUAGGCAUGCUGUUGCAAUUUUCUUGUAUCAAAUAAAAAAUAAUUAGUUAACAUUUCUUAAAACAAAAUUGCAUAUCUCGUAAUUUUUUUCUUUAAAUUGGUGGCAACUAAUUAGAGCGUGGGCUUAGCAGAUGUUUUUACAAAUUGAAGAGCAAAACUGAAAUUAAUCCUUAAUCUUGGCAAAUAAACUCAAGCUCUUCUGCCCCUAGAGGUGCUUGAUUUAAUAGUUUUUAAACAGUUUCAUUUAACUGAUUAAGAGACAAUAAGAAAUUAAAAUCUCAAAAUCUCAACUGGAUCCCAUUUCAACCAUUUUUUUUAAUUUUUUAUUUUACAUCAAAUUUUCAAAUUCAAUAUUCUGAUUUAUUUGUAAAUUAGAUCUUUGAUACUAGAGAAUUAGCAAUUUUAAUUGUAUCUUGGAUGUUUUUCAUUUCAAUUUCGAAUCUUUUUUAAAAUAUCAUCAAAAUGUCAAUUUAUUAUUAAUUAGAAUAUGGUAAGCAAAACAUUUAGACUAUUUGGGACAUUGAUACGAGACCCGUACACAUUUUAAAGCAUGAUCGUACAACCGGAAUGAGGUAAAGUUUUAAAAUUCCCUUUAAAUAAGAUUAUCCUCCUUUCUUAUCAAUAGUAAAGUUUUAAAAUUCCCUUUAAAUAAGAUUAUCUUCCUUUCUUAUCAAUAUUGAAAAGUGAUUGUUUUCUCUUCAAAUAAUAUUAUAUUUUUUAUAUUAUCAAUAUUGAAAAGAUAGAAAUAAUAUAAUUAUAUUAUUAAAAAUAAUAUAAUUUAACAUAAAUUUAUUUUUAUUCAAAGAGUAUUUAAGAAAAUUUAUUUUUUACUGUUCUAUUUGUCACAUAUUUAAGUAAAUAAGUACCUAAAAAAAUAUUAAAUGAACCAUUUGGAGAUAUUUUCACUUUAUAUUAUUAUUUGAACAAGUGUAAUCUAAUCAUAAUUUUAAGUUCCGAUUGUCCAACUUUAAUACCAACUCAGGCCUUAACUUGUUCUCGUUAGAAAUUAACAUACUGCUUAAAUAAUAAUAAUAAACUACAAGUGAUUGAACUCAAAAGAAAAACCAAAUGAAUACAGAAAGAAUAAGUAUUAUUAUGUCAUUAAUAGUAUGAAAUAUGAAACGAACAAAUGAAUAAUUCAAUACAUUAAUCUCCAAUCAUCCUCGAAAAUAAUAUCUUAGUAAUAACUAUGAUUUUCUUCCAUUACCAAACGACUUAGUGCUUCAGGAGAGCGAGAAGAGAAACAAACAGCGAAGAUGCAAUAACAGCACCGGAAACCGGAAGAGAAGAGGCUGCUCCGGUGUCCAAUGAAGGAGAUGGUGCCGGGGCCAUCUCGGUGCUUUGAGCUGAAGCAGCAGCCA